ensembl:miRNA Mir8115 microRNA 8115
CCCUGGAACUGGAACUGCAGGUGGUUGGGAGCCACCAUGUUGAUGUUGGGAAGUGAACUUGAGUCCUCCACAAUAGCAACAAGGGCUCUUAACUACUGAGCCAUCUCUCCAUCUUCAAA